ACGUAGGUGGCAAGCGUUAUCCGGAAUUACUGGGUGUAAAGGGAGCGCAGGCGGGAUAGCAAGUCAGUUGUGAAAACUAUGGGCUCAACCCAUAAACUGCAGUUGAAACUGUUAUUCUUGAGUGGAGUAGAGGCAAGCGGAAUUCCGAGUGUAGCGGUGAAAUGCGUAGAUAUUCGGAGGAACACCAGUGGCGAAGGCGGCUUGCUGGGCUCUAACUGACGCUGAGGCUCGAAAGUGUGGGGAGCAAACAG
rnacentral:rRNA from 1 species